rnacentral:piRNA from 1 species
UGAGUUCCUAAUCUUUGCUUAGAUCU